CAAAAUCUAGAUUUACCUAACUACCCUUAGUCUGAAAUUACUAAAUUAUGCACCAAUACGUCAAAUUACCGAAAUGCACGUAGUUCAGUCAACAGUGGUCGGGAAACUCAGAUCCGAUAGUGCUGACCAUGUUAAGGCUGAUGGCGCCGGCGGCGACAAUUCACGCGCGGAAACGACGACGAAUCGAGCUUCCAUAAACGUGAAAUUUCGGCGGCCGAUCGGCGGCUAAACGACCGUUUCAGGUGACGCGACCCGUCUGAAAAUGAUGAGGGUGAGCUGAGGAAACAGAUCCAGGUGGUGGCGCGACCUAAUUCCGACGAGAUCGACGGCGAUGGUGAUGGGUUUUGGCCGCGACUUUUCGUGCUUCAAACGCGGUGUUCCGUCCAGUUUCCGGCUAUGAUGACGGGUCGACCGCGUUCAUCUCUCUCUCCCAUUUUAUAAAGGACACCCUUUUUUCCCUAAAACUUUAUACAAAUUAAGCUAGUAAUCAUGUUCUUGAUUCGUGUCAUGAUGGGUUUAAACGGAUUCGAACACAACCCACUUAUUAAACAUGCAAAAUUUAAUCAUUCAUGUCCGUAAUUAAUGUCGGAUAAUCGAGUUACAUCAAUUUCGUCGGUAACAAUUUGUAAUAAGUCUGACGACUUUGAAAUUAAUAUCGAAGAGAAAAAUUAAAUAAUACACUUAACUAGA
rnacentral:lncRNA from 1 species